AGAGUUUGAUCCUGGCUCAGGACGAACGCUGGCGGCGUGCUUAACACAUGCAAGUCGAGCGAUGAAGCACCUUCGGGUGUGAAUUAGCGGCGAACGGGUGAGGAACACGUGAAGAAUCUGCCUUCAACUCUGGGAUAACUCCGGGAAACCGGGGCUAAUACCGGAUAUGAGCCUUGAUCGCAUGAUCGGGGCUGGAAAGUUUUUCGGUUGAAGAUGACUUCGCGGCCUAUCAGCUUGUUGGUGAGGUAAUGGCUCACCAAGGCGACGACGGGUAGCCGGCCUGAGAGGGCGACCGGCCACACUGGGACUGAGACACGGCCCAGACUCCUACGGGAGGCAGCAGUGGGGAAUAUUGGGCAAUGGAGGAAACUCUGACCCAGCGACGCCGCGUGAGAGAUGAAGGCCUUCGGGUUGUAAACCUCUUUCAGUAGGGAAGAAGCGAAAGUGACGGUACCUACAGAAGAAGCACCGGCUAACUAUGUGCCAGCAGCCGCGGUAAUACAUAGGGUGCAAGCGUUGUCCGGAAUUAUUGGGCGUAAAGAGCUCGUAGGUGGUUCGAUACGUCGGAUGUGAAAAUCAGGGGCUCAACCCCUGACCUGCAUCCGAUACGGUCGAGCUAGAGUUUGGUAGGGGAGACUGGAAUUCCUGGUGUAGCGGUGGAAUGCGCAGAUAUCAGGAGGAACACCGAUGGCGAAGGCAGGUCUCUGGGCCAAUACUGACACUGAGGAGCGAAAGCGUGGGGAGCGAACAGGAUUAGAUACCCUGGUAGUCCACGCCGUAAACGGUGGGCGCUAGUUGUG
rnacentral:rRNA from 1 species